GUUAGGAGGGAAUCAUCAACCUAAGUCAACUCGUGUCCUUCUUUGACGCUCACGAACAUAUUUUAAGUAUCGCAUGUAUAAAUGUAUUUUUUAGUAUAUUAUUAAUAAUUUAAUAUUUUAACGCAUUUUUUUAUUUUUUGAAUGUGGCCCUCGAAAUUUUUUUUAAGUAAUAGGUCCCUACGUGAAUUAGUAUUUAGUGACUAUCAUUGCUAAAAUAUAUUUAUGCUAAAAUUAUAUAAUUUUAAUGAUAAAAUUGUAGGUAUUUGUUUCUUUAGUUUAUAAUUAAAUAUUUAAAUUAGACAAACAGGCUACGUUUUCGGUUAUCUUAAAUUAUACUUAAUAAUUGUUAUUUAUUAUUGUUGUGAUUUUACGAAUAUACUCUGUACACUCCCGCGCAUACUCCAAUACACCCCCUGGGCCCUGGUUGCUGUCAUAAGUUCUCUGAAUUCCAUUUCCACAGAUAGUUACGUAUAUCUACGUAUAAUCAGUGGCGUACCUAACCUGCAAGAACCAAGAGGGAUGGAUCGCAGAGAAUGCGCGGUAGCACCUGAGCCUGGAGGCUCCCUAUUCUGAAAUACCUAUGUUUUUAUUGUAAUAAUAGGUAUAAUAUACUAUUUUAAAUUUA